rnacentral:rRNA from 1 species
CUCAGGACGAACGCUGGCGGCGUGCUUAACACAUGCAAGUCGAACGAUGAAGCCCUUCGGGGUGGAUUAGUGGCGAACGGGUGAGUAACACGUGGGCAAUCUGCCCUUCACUCUGGGACAAGCCCUGGAAACGGGGUCUAAUACCGGAUAACACUCCUGCUCUCAUGGGCAGGGGUUGAAAGCUCCGGCGGUGAAGGAUGAGCCCGCGGCCUAUCAGCUUGUUGGUGAGGUAAUGGCUCACCAAGGCGACGACGGGUAGCCGGCCUGAGAGGGCGACCGGCCACACUGGGACUGAGACACGGCCCAGACUCCUACGGGAGGCAGCAGUGGGGAAUAUUGCACAAUGGGCGAAAGCCUGAUGCAGCGACGCCGCGUGAGGGAUGACGGCCUUCGGGUUGUAAACCUCUUUCAGCAGGGAAGAAGCGAAAGUGACGGUACCUGCAGAAGAAGCGCCGGCUAACUACGUGCCA